rnacentral:rRNA from 1 species
GGAUUAGGCAUGCAAGUCGCACGAGAAAGGUUUCUUCGGAAGCCGAGUACAGUGGCGAACGGGUGAGUAAUGCAUAGACAACUCGCCCUUGAGAUGGGGACAACGCCUCGAAAGGGGUGCUAAUACCCAAUGCCGCCUUGGGCCUGCGGGUCCAGGGUGAAAGGAGGCCUCUGAUUCAAGCUUCCGCUCAAGGAGAGGUUUAUGUCCUAUUAGCUAGUUGGCGGGGUAACGGCCCACCAAGGCUGCGAUGGGUAGCCGACCUGAGAGGGUGACCGGCCACAUUGGGACUGAGACACUGCCCAGACUCCUACGGGAGGCUGCAGUCGAGAAUCUUCCGCAAUGCGCGCAAGCGUGACGGAGCGACGCCGCGUGGGUGAUGAAGGCCUUCGGGUUGUAAAACCCUGUCAGCUACUACGAAACACGGGCGAUGAACAAUCGUCCCGUCUGACUUAAGUAGCAGAGGAAGCACCGGCUAACUACGUGCCAGCAGCCGCGGUGAUACGUAGGGUGCAAACGUUGUUCGGAAUCACUGGGCAUAAAGGGCGCGUAGGCGGUCUGAUAAGUCAGGUGUGAAAUCCCUCGGCCUAACCGAGGAACUGCAUUUGAUACUGUCGGGCUAGAGUACAGGAGGGGAGAGUGGAAUUCCUGGUGGAGCGGUGAAAUGCGUAGAUAUCAGAGGAACGCCGGCGGCGAAAGCGACUCUCUGGCCUGUUACUGACGCUGAGGCGCGAAAGCUAGGGGAGCAAACGGGAUUAGAUACCCCGGUAGUCCUAGCCCUAAACGAUGGGCACUAAGUAGAGGGGUUUU